CUACGGGUGGCUGCAGUGGGGAAUUUUGCGCAAUGGGGGAAACCCUGACGCAGCAAUACCGCGUGAGUGAAGAAGGCCUUUGGGUCGUAAAGCUCUUUUAUAAGGGAAGAUAGUGACGGUACCUUAUGAAUAAGCACCGGCUAACUCCGUGCCAGCAGCCGCGGUAAUACGGAGGGUGCAAGCGUUGUUCGGAUUUACUGGGCGUAAAGGGCGCGUAGGCGGCAUAGUAAGUUAAGGGUGAAAUCCCGGGGCUCAACUCCGGAACUGCUCUUAAAACUGCUAAGCUAGAGAUAGUUAGAGGCAGGUGGAAUUCCUAGUGUAGAGGUGAAAUUCGUAGAUAUUAGGAGGAACACCGGUGGCGAAGGCGGCCUGCUGGAGCUAUUCUGACGCUAAGGCGCGAAAGCGUGGGGAGCAAACGGGAUUAGAUACCCCAGUAGUC
rnacentral:rRNA from 1 species